GGGUCAAUAGGUUGGUCGUGCCACCGGUACGUACUGGUCUCACUGAUUCCUCCUUCCUGAAGAACCGUAAUGCCAUUAAUUUGGUGUUGCGGGGAAAUAGGACUGUUACUUUGAAAAAAUUAGAGUGUUUAAAGCAAGCUAACGCUUGAAUACAUUAGCAUGGAAUAAUGAAAUAGGACGAUCGAUCCUAUUUUGUUGGUUUCUAGGAUUGACGUA
rnacentral:rRNA from 1 species